UGACCUCGGAUCAGACGUGAUUACCCGCUGAAUUUAAGCAUAUUAUUAAGCGGAGGAAAAGAAACUAACAAGGAUUCCCUAGUAACGGCGAGUGAACGGGGAAGAGCCCAACACCGAAUCCCUUGGCGCAAGUCAACGGGAAAUGUGGUGUUAAGGUAGCCCUUCGUGUCAGUCUAGGCGUCUCAAGUCCACCUGAUUGUGGCUCAAGCCCAGAGAGGGUGUAAGGCCCGUAGAGACGCUCCGACUGAUUCCUGGGGUUUACCUACGAGUCGGCUUGUUUGGGAAUGCAGGCCAAAGCGGGUGGUAAACUCCAUCCAAGGCUAAAUACUGGCACGAGUCCGAUAGCGGGACAAGUACCGUGAGGGAAAGUUGAAAAGAACUUUGAAGAGAGAGUUCAAUAGUACGUGAAACCGCUUAGAGGCAAACGGAUGGUGCUCAUACUGGCCUGAGGAAUUCAACUGUGACGGUGGCUGGACGAGCUGGCGUUCCGAUCUCUCUUUUGGGACGGGCGUCCGGUUUGGCUAUCAGCUCUGACAUGGUGCACUUUCCUUGGUGCCUCCGCCACGACCGACGACACUGGCUACCGCGGCUGGGGUAAGGUGACAAACUGCUUCGGCAAUUUGUGUUAUAGACCCCGGCGUCGGACAUGGUUUGGCCAGGACGUCGAGCUUGCGGCGCCCGCUCCUUGUGGGCUCGCAUGUUGGCUAGCUUGCUGCGCCGAUGCUUGCACUGGACAACCAGUACAGGUGACGGUUGUGGUCUUGUCUCUAGUUGGCCUCUGCGAGUUUGGCGCCUAUAGUCUGUGGUGUACUUGUGGGGUAGACUAUCCGACCCGUCUUGAAACACGGACCAAGGAGUCUAACAUGUGCGCGAGUCAUGGGGAUUCUACGAAACCCAAAGGCGCAGUGAAAGUAAAGGCCUGCUUCUCGUAGGCUGAGGUGGGAUCUCGUGCAUCGCGAUUGGCGAGCGCACCACCGGCCCGUCCUAUCUGUCUCUGUCAGUGGGGCGGCGCAAGAGCGUACACGUUGGGACCCGAAAGAUGGUGAACUAUGCUUGCGCAGCUCGAAGUCAGUGGAAACACUGAUGGAGGAGCGCAGCGUUUCUGACGUGCAAAUCGAUCGUCAAACGUGAGUAUAGGGCGAAAGACUAAUCGAACCAUCUAGUAGCUGGUUCCUCCGAAGUUUCCCUCAGGAUAGCUGGCACUCGGGAAACAGUUUUAUCCGGUAAAGCGAAUGAUUAGAGGCAUUGGGGUCGAAACGACCUCGACCUAUUCUCAAACUUUAAAUGGGUAAGAUGCUCGUCUCGCUUAAUUGGAGGCGGGCUUCACCUCUCUAACGUGAAUGUGAGUGCCCAGUGGGCCAUUUUUGGUAAGCAGAACUGGCGCUGUGGGAUGAACCAAACGCGCGGUUAAGGCGCCCAAUGCGGACGCUCAUGAGACACCACAAAAGGUGUUGGUCGAUACUGACAGCAGGACGGUGGCCAUGGAAGUCGGAACCCGCUAAGGAGUGUGUAACAACUCACCUGCCGAAUCAACCAGCCCUGAAAAUGGAUGGCGCUGGAGCGUCGGGCCUAUACCGUGCCGUUGGGGCGAAGCAGACAAAUAAUCUUGUGGAUGUCCCAACGAGUAGGAGGGUCGCCGUGGUGAGCGCAGAAGGUGCGGCCGUGAGGCCGGCUGGAGCCGCCACGGGCGCAGAUCUUGGUGGUAGUAGCAAUUACUCAAGUUGAGAACCUUGAGGACUGAAGUGGAGAAGGGUUUCCAUGUGAACAGCAGUUGAACAUGGGUCAGGCGGUCCUAAGCGAUCGGGUAACUCCGUACCUAGACGAGGGUGACAACUAUCACUUAACUAAAUUGUGACGUGUUAUAGCCCUCUCCGGAGCGAAAGGGAAUCGUGUUAAUAUUCACGACCCUUACCGUGGAGAUCGCCCCUUUCGGGGGGCAAGUGCGGCUAACGCAAACGAACACAGAGACGUCGGCUGGAGCCCCGGGAAGAGUUCUCUUUUCUUUUAAAGGAGCGUACCCCCUGGAAUCGGGCUUGUCCGGAGAUAGCGUGGCUCCGGUAAAGCAGCGCGGGGUCUUGCGCUGUCCGGUUGAGUCGGCCCUUGAAAAUCUGUGGGGACAGUGUGAUUUUCACGGUAGGCGUACCCAUAUCCGUAAGGUCUCCAAGGUGAACAGCUCUAGUCCUAGAACAAUGUAGGUAAGGGAAGUCGGUAAACUUGGAAAAUAAACUUCGCUGGUAAGGGAACUUGGGAUUGGCUCUGAGGGCUGGUCGGAUGGGCUGGCGUAAGAAGCUGUUCCGGUUUUGGUGAGGACUGGGCGAGGCUUUCGGGCUUUACGGACCAUGCCGAGACCAGGCAGUAGACGACGUCAGCUGUGCUUGUCGUGUUUCGGCGCGGCAGCUUCGUCCGGCAACAAACAGCCAAACUCAGAACUGGCACGGACUAGGGGAAUCCGACUGUCUAAUUAAAACAAAGCAUUGCGAUGGCUGUUGCUCGGUGUUGA
rfam:Macrostomum lignano uti_cns_0048573, whole genome shotgun sequence.